rnacentral:rRNA from 1 species
GACGAACGCUGGCGGCGUGCCUAACACAUGCAAGUCGAACGGGGUGAUUUUCUUCGGAGGAUCACUUAGUGGCGAACGGGUGAGUAACGCGUGAGAAACCUGCCUUUCAGUGGGGGACAACAGUUGGAAACGACUGCUAAUACCGCAUAAUGUCAUUUGGGGGCAUCCUUAAAUGACCAAAGCUUAAUGUGCUGAAAGAUGGUCUCGCGUCUGAUUAGCUGGAUGGCGGGGUAACGGCCCACCAUGGCGACGAUCAGUAGCCGGUCUGAGAGGAUGAACGGCCACAUUGGGACUGAGAUACGGCCCAG